GGGCGUUGGGCUUCAAACCCGAGGGGAGGAAUCAG
rnacentral:tRNA from 15 species